AACGUAGGUGGCGAGCGUUAUCCGGAAUUACUGGGCGUAAAGCGUGUGCAGGCGGGCAAGCAAGAGGGGUAUGAAAGCUCCCGGCUCAACCGGGAAGGGUUAUGCCAGACUGCUAGUCUUGAGUGCGAGAGAGGAGCGUGGAAUUCCGGGUGUAGUGGUGAAAUGCGUAGAUAUUGGGAGGAACACCAGUGGCGAAGGCGGCUCGCUGGACCGGAACUGACGCUGAGGCGCGAAAGCGUGGGGAGCAAACAGG
rnacentral:rRNA from 1 species